rnacentral:pre_miRNA from 1 species
AAAGUACUCCCUCCGUCCCAAAAUUCUUGUCUUAGAUUUGUCUAGAUACGGAUGUAUCAAGUCACAUUUUAGUAUUAGAUACAUCCGUAUCUAGACAAAUCUAAGACAAAAAAUUUGGGACAGAGGGAGUAGUUG